AGGGGUUAACGGAAUCCGACCAGCAUCCAUGAGGACGUGGGUUUGAUCCCUGGCCUUGAUGAGUGGGUUAAGGAUCCAGCGUUGCCAUGAGAUGUGGUGUAGGUUGCAGAUGUGGCUCAGAUCCUGCGUUGCUGUGACUGUGACGUAGGCCGGUGGCUACAGCUCCGAUUGGACCCCUAGACUGGAAACCUCCAUAUGCUUAUCUGACUCUGAGCUGCGGAAUUUGGGUUCCCCAUAAGCAGACCCUAAGAUGAGGGUUCUGGUGUAAGCGGUUUAUUUUGGAAGCAUAAGAAACAUGCAGCAACAUGGAUACAUCUCAAAAUCUUAUGCUGAGCAAAAGAAGCUGGGUACAAAAAAUACAUGCUCUAAGACUCCAUUUAUAGGAAACUGGAGAACAGGCAAAACUAACAUAAUGCGGCUGAAAGAGAUCAGUGGUUGCUGAAGACAGGAGGUUGGAACCGACUACAGAGAGACCCGAGGGAAUUCCUAGCGGGGAUGGAAACAGCCUUUGUCUCCACUGCAGCGCUGGUUAUCCCGGUGAACGCUUUUGUCCAAAGUCAUCAAACCCAGAGUCUUAAAAUGGGUGCAUCUUACCAUGUGGAGGUUAUACCUCAAUGCUGACUAAAAACAAGAAUUCUUUUUACUAGUUGACAGAGUGUCAGUAAAAGAGACAUAUAAAAUGACUUAAACUUUAAAAAAGGGUUACUUUUAAAUCUUUAGCUUGAAGCCAACCUCGUCCUUGGCACUUUCUCAGGGAAGUUCAGUGAAGAAAGAGCUUCCCACAUUUCAUCCCCCUCCCCUUUUUCUCGAGGAAGAAAGUAUUUAUUCUUCAUCAAGGAAAUGAGUUUAUACACGACAUUUCAUAUUCAGAGCUGAGUUAAUGUGAAUUAGCAUUUUUGCAAUAAGACAGUCCUAAGUCUAACACUUUUAAGUAUUAAAGCCAAUAUGCUUCCAAUGUGCAUAAUCCACACUCAGGAGACAGCUCCUCUUAGCUUCAUUACUUCCUCUCACUUUUGGGAUCAUUGGCAUCUAUUUGGUGUCUUUCUUGUUUUUGGUAAUCUCUUCCUCUAUGAGAAGUAAGUUCAGGGAGAAUUGAGGCAUUUCUCAGUUUUGCUCUUCUGCUCCCAGGUAUUAACAUCAGAAAUAUCUAAUUUCUGAUUUGAAAAAUCCAUGGGUUCUGGAGGGUGUUCUUAUAGUCCGUGCCAUCACCCAGCUGACUGCCUCAACAUGAGAGAUGGUUUCAGCUUCUCUUUCUUUUUUACCAGCCAGCCUUCUGACCCAGUGGUUUCCCACUCGAUUCCCAAUGGAAGCUCUGAGGCUUCUGUCACUUUUGCUAGAAGGAUAGAAGCCACCUUAGAAUUGUACGUUUGGCCAUUUGGAUUGUAACAUAUAAAAAUCCAGACGCCUACUUUCCCAGCAUCAAGGGGAGAGGGGCCAUCGUUUGUUGACUAGUUCUUCUGAAAUCUGCUACAGUGCUACUACCAUCCUGUAAAAUAUCCACCAGCCUGUGUGAUAACCUGCCAAGCAGCAACCUAACAUUAUAGGAUUAUUUGCUUUCCUUGACAUCUCUCUCCUGCAAUAUCUACACAGUAGUUUAUCCCAGAGAUGAUUUCUCCUGGAUAAUUCAGGGAAACAUGUAUUUUCUCCCUUCCAAAACUUGUCAUCUAAUUGACAGGAUUGGGGGAUAUUCACAGAGAUUCAAGAAAUGAUUCCCAACCUUCCUACACUGUGGUGGGAAUAUAAUGUGGUACAGCUACUAUGGAGAACAGUAUGCGGGUUUUUAAAAAAACUAAAAGUAGAGCUACCAUAUGAUCCAGCAAGCCUACUCCUGGGUAUAUAGCCAGAAAAGACAAAAACUCUUAUUUGAAAAGAUACAUGUACCUCAAUGUUCAUAGCAGCAUUAUUUACAAUAGCCAAGACACGGAAACAAAUGUUCAUGGACAGACAGAUAAAGAAAAUGUGGUGUACACACACACACACACACACACACACACACACACACAGGAAUAUCACUCAGCCAUAAAAAAGAAUGAAGUAAUGACAUUUGCAGCAACAUGGAUGGACCCCAAAAUUAUCAUACUAAGCAAAAUAAGUCAGACAAAGAAAGACAAAUAUCAUAUGACAUAACUUACAUGUGAACUCUAAAAAAUGAUAUAAAUGAACUUAUUUACAAAACAGAAAUAGACUCAAAAACACAGAAAACAAACCAAAGAGGAAAGGGAUGGGGGUGAUGGAUAUAUUGGGAGCUUGGGAUUAACAGAUACACACUACCAUAUGUAAAAUAGGUAAACAACAAAGACUUUCUCCACAGUACAGGGAACUAUACUCAAUAUAACAACCUAUAGUGGAAAAGAAUUUGAAAAAGUAUAUAUAUGUACAUAACCAAAUCACUUUGCUGUAUACAUGAAACUAAGCCAGUAUUGUAAAUCAACUAUGCCUUAGUAAAGAUAAAUUCCCAAACUCACUAGUAGCUAGAGAAAUGCAGAUGAAAGAAACAAGCUGUGAUACUUGGUACACAUAAGAUAGGCAAAUGUGGGAGUUCCCAUCAUAGCUCAGUGGGAACAACCCUGAACCCAGCUACUAUCCAUGACGAUGUGGGUUCAGUCCCUGGCCUUGCUCAGUGGGUUAAGGAUCCGGUGUUGCUGUGAGCUGUGGUGUAGGUUGCAGACGUGGCUUGGAUCCCAAGUUUCUGUGGCUGUGGUGUAGGCUGGCAGCUGGAGCUCUGAUUCGACCCCUAACCUGGGAACUUCCAUAAUGCCAUGGGUUUGGCCCUGAAAAUACCCCCCCCCACCAAAAAAAAAGAAAAAAA
rnacentral:lncRNA from 9 species